rnacentral:rRNA from 1 species
AACGAACGCUGGCGGCAGGCUUAACACAUGCAAGUCGAGCGGCCGUAGCAAUACGGCAGCGGCAGACGGGAGAGUAACACGUGGGAACGUACCCUUCAGUUCGGAACAACCAAGGGAAACUUUGGCUAAUACCGAAUACGUCCGUAAGGAGAAAGAUUUAUCGCUGAAGGAUCGGCCCGCGUCUGAUUAGCUAGUUGGUGAGGUAACGGCUCACCAAGGCGACGAUCAGUAGCUGGUCUGAGAUGAUGAUCAGCCUCACUGGGACUGAGACACGGCCCAGACGACUACGGGAGGCAGGAGGGGGGAAUAUUGGACAAGGGGCGCAAGCCUGAUCCAGCCAUGCCGCGUGGAUGAUGAAGGCCUUAGGGUUGUAAAGUCCUGUUAACGGGGAAGAUAAUGACGGUACCCGUAGAAUAAGCCCCGGCUAACUUCGUGCCAGCCGCCGCCGUAACAC